rnacentral:rRNA from 1 species
AGAACGAACGCUGGCGGCAUGCCUAACACAUGCAAGUCGAACGAAGGCUUCGGCCUUAGUGGCGCACGGGUGCGUAACGCGUGGGAAUCUGCCCUUUGGUUCGGAAUAACUCAGGGAAACUUGAGCUAAUACCGGAUGAUGACGAAAGUCCAAAGAUUUAUCGCCAAAGGAUGAGCCCGCGUAGGAUUAGCUAGUUGGUGGGGUAAAGGCCUACCAAGGCGACGAUCCUUAGCUGGUCUGAGAGGAUGAUCAGCCACACUGGGACUGAGACACGGCCCAGACUCCUACGGGAGGCAGCAGUGGGGAAUAUUGGACAAUGGGCGAAAGCCUGAUCCAGCAAUGCCGCGUGAGUGAUGAAGGCCUUAGGGUUGUAAAGCUCUUUACCCGGGAUGAUAAUGACAGUACCGGGAGAAUAAGCUCCGGCUAACUCCGUGCCAGCAGCCGC